rnacentral:lncRNA from 1 species
ACUACCAUUGGCUAAAUUAUCACUGGGAUAACAUUUAAUACCUGUUUGUAAAAAUGAUGACCUUGAAAAUAUCUUGAUUUUAUAUUUAUAAAGACUGUCCUGCUUAUUUUUAAAAAUUUUGAAACACAGAAAAUAAAAAACUUAAGGUUUCUAGUUAUUCCACUCCCCAAUAAACAUUGUUCGAGAGUUUGGUUUAUAUCCUUCAAGAAAUUUUUUUAUCUAUAUAGGCAUACAUAUACAUAUCUAAAAGUGUAACUCCUAGAAUCCCAGGUUCCCCAGGAUAUUGGGGUCACCUUUUAUAUUAGUCUAUAAAUAAAAUACCUUGAGUCCCAUCCUAAGUGGUUUUGAGAAUCUAGCAUUUUCUCCAGUUGUUUUAACAAUUCUAAGGAGGAUGCUAACAUAGUGGUUGUUGAUUACCUAUUGCUUUGGAUUCUGUCCCAAGUUUAUUUGCUUAUUGGUUUGUCUUGCCUCCUCCUUAUCCUGCUGACGUGCUAGUUUUUCUAACAUCUAGAUAACACCUCUUCUUUUUUUUUUUUCUAGUGACUUCUUAGGUACUAUUAAGUGAAACUGAAAUUUACCGAAUGUUUGGGAUUUUGAGAGAAGAUGAAAGAAUUGACUCUUGCAGGUAUUAUGCUUCAUAUUUAACUUCUGCUUGUUUGUUUUUCAUGGUCCUAAGAAAUUAUUAUACUCACUAUUGUGAUACAUAUCAUCUUUAAUGGCUACAUUCAUAAUAUGCUUGGUAGAGGCCAAAAAUUGUGCUAAGAAUUUUUCACACAUGCCUUAUUAGAUCUUCACAACAACCCUAGGAAUUAGAUAUUAUUACAACUGUUACUUUGCAGAUAGUAAACUAAGGCUAAGAACAGCUAACUUAUCCAUGCUCAUUCAGCUAACUAAAGGGUAGAGACAUUUUAAACCCAAACAACCUGAAGUUCCAUAUUCCCACUAUGUUAUUCUGCCCCUUGCCUUCAUGAUUAUCAUAAAUGCUGCUGAUCCGAGUGAUUAUUAAUGGGGUUCACAAAAACCAGUCCCACUCGGAUCACUUCCUGUCUGGUAGCUACAUUCUAAACUCUUAAUUGCAUACCAUUGCUAUGGUUUGGAUGAUGGUUUCCCCUCCAAAAUUCAUGUUGAAACUUAAGCUCCCGUGUAAGAGCAUUAC